CCUACGGGUGGCUGCAGUGGGGAAUAAUGGACAAUGGGCGAAAGCCUGAUCCAGCCAUGCCGCGUGUGUGAAGAAGGCCUUCGGGUUGGAAAGCACUUUCAGUGGGGAAGAAAGCCUUGGGGCUAAUACCCUCGAGGAAGGACAUCACCCACAGAAGAAGCACCGGCUAACUCCGUGCCAGCAGCCGCGGUAAUACGGAGGGUGCGAGCGUUAAUCGGAAUUACGGGGCGUAAAGCGCGCGUAGGCGGUCUGAUAAGCCGGUUGUGAAAGCCCCGGGCUCAACCUGGGAACGGCAUCCGGAACUGUCAGGCUAGAGUGCAGGAGAGGAAGGUAGAAUUCCCGGUGUAGCGGUGAAAUGCGUAGAGAUCGGGAGGAAUACCAGUGGCGAAGGCGGCCUUCUGGACUGACACUGACGCUGAGGUGCGAAAGCGUGGGUAGCAAACAGGAUUAGAUACCCGUGUAGUC
rnacentral:rRNA from 1 species